GUGGGAGCCUUUCCCCGUGAGCCCAAAAUCUUCCAAUCUGGUGGCACUGAGAUUACAAUUUCUUGGAUGAUUCUGAAGAUACCUUCCAGAAAGUUGCUGUUUGGAUGUUCAAAGUAUUCUCCCUAUCUUUUACAUAGAACAUCUACUCAGAUUCUAGAAAAAUCAUAGUCUUCAAAUCUAAUUUGUGGCUGGAAUGACUGAAGCUGACUCUCUCCGUUGCCUGAGAUCUUUGUUUUCACACAGCAUCUUGGAGCUAACCAGACAUCUGGAACUAGCACAAUAUCUGCAGUGAGUUGGAGGAUCACUGGAGUAAUUGAAAAUUUGUACUGAUGCCCCCUCUGCCUGUUACGUUACCCCAGACCUAUGCCUGCACUACAUGGCAUCAGCCACAACCACAUUGUUCCUGAGCUCUUGUUUGGCUCCUUUACUUCCCACAAUCUUGUGAACUUGAUCCAAAGGAAGAAAAACCAUGGUCAUCAUGGUGAUGUUCCGCUGCACUUUGCACUAGAAUAAGCAUGUGGACAGGAGUGAAGGAAAUCAAACUGAGGAUAAAUUAAUGGUCUCCAAGUGCAUGUGCAGAACAACAGAUGGAAGAUACUUAGUGACUCUGAUCCUUUCAUAACACUGUCAGUCAUGGUAAUGAAGUCCAGCCUUAAAAGAUACUAAGACAUCAGGAUACAGUAUGGACAGACUGGUGAAGUGACCUUGCAUAGGUCAUGAGUAAUCCUGACAUGAGAUGAGAUUGCACUGGGCAUGACAGUUCUGCAGGAGAGCUUAUUGGAUAGUGCUGAAGACUAUGCAAAAUGCUGAUUGUUCAGAGUGCAUCUCAUGCAAGUACAGUUUAGAGGAGACACUUGAAAAAUACAGAUCUUCAAAUAAAAUGGAAUAAUUGCAUUUAUCCAAUAUAAAGACUGCAUAGGAUUCCUCAAGGCCAGGUUGGAUGGGCACUGGGCAGCCCGAUCUAGUGCCUGAUUUAGUGGUUGGCAACCCUACCCACAGGAGGAGAUUGGAACUAGCUGACCUUUGAGGAUCCUUCCAACCCAAACCAUUCUAUGUUUCUAUGAUUCUACAAUUUUAAACUAACAAUGCUGAAUAGGGAUGAAUGUGCAGAAGAUGUAAUGAAGUUCAAAUUCUUCCACAAAA